GAUGAACGCUGGCGGCGUGCUUAACACAUGCAAGUCGAACGGGAAUUAUUUUAUUGAAACUUCGGUCGAUUUAAUUUAAUUCUAGUGGCGGACGGGUGAGUAACGCGUGGGUAACCUGCCUUAUACAGGGGGAUAACAGUCAGAAAUGGCUGCUAAUACCGCAUAAGCGCACAGAGCUGCAUGGCUCAGUGUGAAAAACUCCGGUGGUAUAAGAUGGACCCGCGUUGGAUUAGCUGGUUGGUGGGGUAACGGCCCACCAAGGCGACGAUCCAUAGCCGGCCUGAGAGGGCGAACGGCCACAUUGGGACUGAGACACGGCCCAGACUCCUACGGGAGGCAGCAGUGGGGAAUAUUGCACAAUGGGGGAAACCCUGAUGCAGCGACGCCGCGUGAAGGAAGAAGUAUCUCGGUAUGUAAACUUCUAUCAGCAGGGAAGAUAGUGACGGUACCUGACUAAGAAGCCCCGGCUAACUACGUG
rnacentral:rRNA from 1 species